rnacentral:rRNA from 1 species
AUUGAACGCUGGCGGCAGGCUUAACACAUGCAAGUCGAGCGGAGAUGAGGUGCUUGCACCUUAUCUUAGCGGCGGACGGGUGAGUAAUGCUUAGGAAUCUGCCUAUUAGUGGGGGACAACAUUCCGAAAGGAAUGCUAAUACCUCAUACGUCCUACGGGAGAAAGCAGGGGAUCUUCGGACCUUGCGCUAAUAGAUGAGCCUAAGUCGGAUUAGCUAGUUGGUGGGGUAAAGGCCUACCAAGGCGACGAUCUGUAGCGGGUCUGAGAGGAUGAUCCGCCACACUGGGACUGAGACACGGCCCAGACUCCUACGGGAGGCAGCAGUGGGGAAUAUUGGACAAUGGGGGGAACCCUGAUCCAGCCAUGCCGCGUGUGUGAAGAAGGCCUUAUGGUUGUAAAGUACUUUAAGCGAGGAGGAGGCUACUGAGACUAAUACUCUUGGAUAGUGGACGUUACUCGCAGAAUAAGCACCGGCUAACUCUGUGCCAGCAGCCGCCGUAAUAC